GUCUUAUCCUAAGAUAACUAUACAGCAUAACAUAAGUUAUACCAGGACAACCUUAUGUCAGGAUGAUUCUAGAUAAACCCUAAAGGCUAUGGCAUACAUAAUAGAUCCAAUCUACAUCCAUUAAUUAAAAUAUCUAACAUAAAAAUGAUUUAAUCAAGAUCAUACACCAUACAUUACAUGUAUUUCAAAUCUAAACAUCUAAUGUUGCAAAUAAAAAUCAGAUUGUAAUCAUAAUUUUCAGAUCUAUGCAUC
rnacentral:lncRNA from 1 species